rnacentral:misc_RNA from 1 species
AAGGAGCACUUCUCGUGCCGGUACCGCUCACACUGGUGGGUGGGAAUGCACGCAGAGACCACGCCGGCCCCGUACGCGGGUCGGGUGGGAGCUCAUGGGUGGAACACUGACAACCAGAACCGGCAAUGAUCGGUGCCUCCUGUGUGGGGUGCCGGCGGGUUCUAUAUCGAUGCACUGUUGGGUCCUGAGAGAACACGCGAGUGUUACCUCUCUGGCAAGAAACGUAUACAGCGCCCGGAUGUGUCAUACCGCGGCUGGUGUUCCUCCCCUUGUCGGGGUGGGGGUGCCGGUGGGUCUGGUGUCACGGUGAGUUCGGGUGGUGUGUGUUGUUUGAGAACUGCACAGUGGACGCGAGCAUCUUUGUU